UACGGAGGGGGCGAGCGUUAUUCGGAAUUAUUGGGCGUAAAGGGCGCGUAGGCGGCCUGAUAAGUCAAAGGUGAAAUCCCUCGGCUCAACUGAGGAAUUGCCUUUGAAACUGUCAGGCUUGAGGCCGGGAGGGGGUGGCGGAAUUCCCAGUGUAGCGGUGAAAUGCGUAGAUAUUGGGAGGAACACCAGUGGCGAAGGCGGCCACCUGGACCGGUUCUGACGCUGAUGCGCGAAAGCGUGGGGAGCAACAGG
rnacentral:rRNA from 1 species